UUCGUGAUUCUCCAGCUGUGGGUGAUAAACACUGUGCCUUGGUUAGAUUAGCAGCUUGUUUUCCAGCUUGCAUGACUGUGUUCUCCAGAGUAAGGAUCCCUUCAAUUAUUUUUGGUGAUAACAAAUUUGGUUUUGUCUGCUGAGCUUUGUUACUUAGUCCAGAUAAUUGGAAAGUCCCUGAAAAAAUUGGAUGGAGAAAGGGGUUCCAGUGAAGACUCAAUAUCUAUGAUUAUCAAGAAAGCAUUUUAACAGUUUGUCAUGGGCUCCCAUGACCCUACUGAUGCAUCAUCUACAAAAGAUGUUUGAACAGGGGAAAAUCAUUAUGAUUGAUGGAGGACGGUUUUACAAUUUGGUGAUACCGAAACCUUGAAUCCCCAAUGACAAAAGAAAGAGGAAAGGAAGGUGGAAUUCAGUGAUUAAACAAAAGAAUAUGCUACAAAAUAAAAAGAAGGAGGCCUACUCCAAUAGAUGAAUGUAUUUACUACUACUUCUAUUAGCAAAAUUUAUGUAGUUGGAUGACCAAACAAAAGGAAGAAUUGGAAACCUUACAGGCAUCAGAGUGAAGAAGAUGGAGAUAUAAAUAUACUUGAUUCAAAAAUUUGUAAUUAGUGUUUUCCUUUUGUUUUAGGCUGAAGAUAUGUGUUUAGACAUCCUAUAAAGUGUCAUAAAAGAAGAAGAAGUUGGAAAAGUCAUUUAUAGAAUUGGCAUAAAAGUGUAUUGUAUAGAACUUGGCAUAAAAGAGUUCAAAACACUUUUUGUUUAU